UCCCGCAACGAGCGCAACCCUUGUCUUUAAUUGCCAUCAUUCAGUUGGGCACUUUAAAGAGACUGCCGGUGUUAAGCCGGAGGAAGGUGGGAUGACGUCAAGUCCUCAUGGCCUUUACGACCAGGGCUACACACGUGCUACAAUGGCGCAUACAAAGAGAAGCGACCUCGCGAGAGCAAGCGGACCUCAUAAAGUGCGUCGUAGUCCGGAUUGGAGUCUGCAACUCGACUCCAUGAGGUCGGAAUCGCUAGUAAUCGUGGAUCAGAAUGCCACGGUCGAAUACGUUCCGGGCCUU
rnacentral:rRNA from 1 species